rnacentral:rRNA from 1 species
GACGAACGCUGGCGGCGUGCUUAACACAUGCAAGUCGAACGGUGAAGCGCCUUCCUUUUUGGUGGGUGUGGAUGAGUGGCGAACGGGUGAGUAACACGUGAGUAACCUGCCCCCUUCUUCUGGAUAACCGCAUGAAAGUGUGGCUAAUACGGGAUAUUCUGGGUCUGUCGCAUGAUGGGUCUGGGAAAGAUAUUGUUUCGGUGGGGGAUGGGCUCGCGGCCUAUCAGCCUGUUGGUGGGGUGAUGGCCCACCAAGGCGGUGACGGGUAGCCGGCCUGAGAGGGUGGACGGUCACACUGGGACUGAGACACGGCCCAGACUCCUACGGGAGGCAGCAGUGGGGAAUAUUGCACAAUGGGCGCAAGCCUGAUGCAGCGACGCCGCGUGAGGGAUGGAGGCCUUCGGGUUGUGAACCUCUUUCGCCAGUGAAGCAGGCCUGCCUCGUUUGUGGGUGGGUUGACGGUAGCUGGAUAAGAAGCGCCGGCUAACUACGUG